GUGGCCCUCUGCAGGGGAGGGCCAGAAGCAAUGGCAAGUGUAUAUGUGUGUGUGUGUGUGCAUGUGCGUGUGUGUGUGUGUGAGCUGAGCUUAGGCUUUACAGAACUAAUUGAUUCUGCAGUCUCUUUUUUUAUACUGCUGCCCCUCAUUCAUCUUGGCCACCAAUGGUUUGUACUGAGAGGCUUCUAGAAACAUUGGUAAUGGAUUUCUCACCUAUUGCAGGGAAACUUGUGUCUUUUUGAAUCCCUUUGCAUCACUGACAUCCACUCCCUGCUUCCACAAAGUUUUCCACUCAUAUACAGGAGUGUGUACAGCAUUUCCUAGACUCCAAAGUAAUGGUAGCAGUUUAAAACUACACUGUUUCGAGAGAACUUUCCCCACUGUAAGUCUCUAAUUGUUGGUUAAUUCAAGAAACUAUCCAGUGGAUUUUGUGCAUUAUGAGCAAUUGUCUCCUAAUGAGCUUUAACAAGCUCUUGAUUAAUGUCUCCAACUACAUCUGGUGGCUACAAUGAUCCUUCAAUUAACAGGAACAAGAGCCCCACAACGGAUGAGGGGAGCACAGGUUCUGUCUACAAUAAGCAAAAUUCCACUGAUUAGCUGGAGUAAGUCUUGCCAUCUGAUUAUCACCAUCUACAGCGACGUGGCAACUUGUUUGUGGAGUCACAAAUUGAGACAGUGUGGUGAGAGGGCGCUGGAGCCUAUCCCAGCUGACUUCAGGUGAAAGGUGGAUUAUACCCUGAACUGUUCGGCAUUCAGUCGCAGGACACUCACAUUCCCACCAUCACUGGGUGGGAGCUGAACCUGUGCUUCCUGCACCAAAGGCGGUAUGGUAGUUCAUCAAGGUGAAGAGUUGGGUGUGGAAGAACAGAACUCCAACCCCAUCAAAUACCUUUGAGAUGAUGAAUUGUCCCAGCGCUUCCAUCCCUCCAUGUCUUAUUUUCAAAACAGGGCACCACAGAACAACACUGGAUUGUACAUCUUCCUCACAGAUGCGAGAACCAGUGUUCAAAUCUAGCCUCGCAUGUGUGGAGCGUGCAUGCUUUCCCCGUGUCUGCGUGGUUUUUUCCAUAUGCUCCAUUUUUUUCACAUUCCAAAACCACGGAUGGUAGGUUAAUUGAAGACUCUAAAGUGUCCAUAUGUACCCUGUGAUUGGCUGCAAUGGUCCAAUGUGAUUCCCGCACAUGAAUAUUUUUUCAUCUGAAUGCUUGAAUGUUUUGUUUAAUUUUUUAGUUUUCAGCGAAACCCAAUAGGAUGGCUCAAAUUUGGAUGAAUUCAAUUUGAAAUCCCUCGUUCCUAUUUAAAAUUAUAAAAUGUGCAGAGGUGACUGAAAAUAAAUGUGUCCACAUUGAAGUACUUAAUGAUGCUGGAUGGACUCUGUGACAGAUAUGAUGAGUGGUUCAAUAAAUAUGCUCAUCACUGUACAU